UACGUAGGCAGCGAGCGUUGUUCGGAGUUACUGGGCGUAAAGAGUGCGUAGGCGGUUUUCUAAGUUUGGUGUGAAAUCUCCCGGCUCAACUGGGAGGGUGCGCCGAAGACUGGAAGGCUUGAGUAUGGGGGAGGUAAGCGGAAUUCCUGGUGUAGCGGUGAAAUGCGUAGAUAUCAGGAGGAACACCUGCGGUGUAGACGGCUUACUGGACCAUAACUGACGCUGAGGCACGAAAGCGUGGGUAGCAAACAGG
rnacentral:rRNA from 1 species